rnacentral:rRNA from 1 species
UACGAAGGGUGCAAGCGUUACUCGGAAUUACUGGGCGUAAAGCGUGCGUAGGUGGUUUUUUAAGUCCGUUGUGAAAGCCCUGGGCUCAACCUGGGAAUGGCAGUGGAUACUGGAAAGCUAGAGUGCGGUAGAGGGUAGUGGAAUUCCCGGUGUAGCAGUGAAAUGCGUAGAGAUCGGGAGGAACACCAGUGGCGAAGGCGGCCUUCUGGACCAGUACUGACGCUCAUGCACGAAAGCGUGGGGAGCAAACAGG